rnacentral:rRNA from 1 species
CCCACCUGACCCCAUGCCGAACUCAGAAGUGAAACGCCGUAGCGCCGAUGGUAGUGUGGGGUCUCCCCAUGCGAGAGUAGGGAACUGCCAGGCAUCAAAUUAAGCGAAAGGCCAUCCGUCAGGAUGGCCUUUUUGCGUUGGUGAAAAAAAUGCCUGAUGCGACGCUGCGCGUCUUAUACU